rnacentral:misc_RNA from 1 species
AACGCACCUUGCGCCCCCUGGUAUUCCGGAGGGCAUGCCUGUUUGAGUGUCAUGAAAACUUCAACCCCAUGGGUUUUUUGCCUGUGAAGGUUGGACUUGGGUGUCUGCCACGUAAGGUGGCUCACCUGAAAUGUGUCAGUGGUGAUUGAGCCUCGGCUGGAGUAAUAAGUUUCUCUGGCUUGUUGGUUGUGGUCGCUGCUAAGGAACCUUGCCGGGAGGCAAUACUCUGACUCUGACCUCAAAUCAGGUAGGACUACCCGCUGAACUUAA